ACCCUUCCUUCUGCCAGUUUUGGAGAUUUGAUUCAGAGUGGUUGCUAAGACCACAUAACUAGGUGAUCUCAGAUUUGCAGACUGUGAAUCUUGUUGGUUUUCUCUCUCCUUUGCCUCCCAGCGUGCGCAAAUCUCCAGAUUAACAUGAGAGCUUUGGGAUGAUUGAAUAAGGAAGAAAUCUGGAGAACGCACAUGUGGGGUGCUUGUGAUUAUGGCUCCAACGUUCAAGCUGACACCACUGCUUCUGUUUACUGAAGACAGAGCCCGACGACCCAGCGCUGGCUGGAACAGCUGCCGACACUGGAAGGUGCUCAGGUCACCCGUGAGUGAGGCGUUUAAGAGGGUGCUGGCUACUGAGACAAGCUACGAUUUAUCAUAAUAAAAGGAUGCAGAGCAAAAUCGGCAAAGAGAAGAGGUACAUGGGACAGAGACCAGAGGAAACCAGGUGUGGGCUUCCAAGACUUCAUUUCCAUUGGAGUCACUGAAUGCAUUAAAAUUUCUCCAGCUGCAAAUUGGGACAACAGGUUCAUUUAGCACAUCAAGUUGCUUCUGAAAAAUCAAGACAAUCUGUGUAUGCUGAGUGGUGUUCAGUCACCUCCUGAGUGGCAGGUCUGGCUGGCACAGUGGUGUUGAGUCCAGGCUCCCUUCCAAAGGCAUUGUUAUUUAUAGGAGAAUGUCCACUCAAGCCAAGGAUCAAUGCUGCUGGAACACUAAGAAGCCAAAUAGAAGUAAACUGCUCAUCUUAAAACCCAAGUUCCAGACUUCCGAUAGGGAAAAGUAAGCAAGUCAGCAAUUAUCCCCCUAGAAAAGAAUGAUAAAAUGAGAACAGCACCCAUUUCAGGGCUCUGGAAAUUGACUAAAGGCAAACAACAAUCUGGAAAGUGUUUUUUGUUUUUUUUUUUUCUUCAUAAAGAACCUCUAUAUCUUAUUAAGAAUCGUGGAGUUUUUUGGCAUUCUUGCCUGGGACUGCUCCCAGCCAGUCCUGUGCCAGCUCAGUGAGGUUUUGGCAGGACUGGACAUACUGAAAAAGCCUGCAGCUUCAGUCCUGGUGCUCAUUAGCUCAGUCAUGUUCAACUCUGUGAGAACCCAUGGACUGUAGCCCACCCGGUCCCUCUGUCCAUGGGAUUUUGCUGGCAAGAAUACUGGAGUGGGUUGCCAUGCCUUCCUGCAGGGGAUCUUCCUGACCCAGGGAUGGAAUCCGCAUCUCCUACACGGGGAGGUGGAUUCUUUACCACUGAGCCACCUGGGAAGCCAUUAGUGCUGGAGGGAGUGCAACUGAGUUUCAGUAGAAAACCCAGCCCUGGUUGUGUUAAAGGAAUGAUCCCGGUGGCAAGCGAACAAGGAAAGCCAGCACUUUGUUGACUUGAAGCUGCAGUCCAGGUUGGGAAAGCAAUAUUAUGGGUGACAAUCCAGGCAUUGAAUAGGGAGAUCCUAGAAAUGAGACACUACAGAGCAGCUUGAACAAUUACCCCACACCCCCGGUUGUCUUCUGAGCAUGUGCAGAGCAGGGUGGUGGGGGACCAGAGGUGAUACAAGCUAUUCACCCAUCCUCAGCUAACUGAUGUCAUGACCUUGCAGAGACGUGGAUGGGCAUGAGAAAAUCUUACUGGGUUGAUAGAAAUGUUCUAAAAUUGGAUUCUGGUGAUGUUUGCUCAACUCUAUAAAUUUAUCCCAAAUCACUAAUUUUAUACUCAAAACAUAUUUUAAGGUAUGUGAAUUAUAUAUACAUCAAUAAAUCUGUUAAAAACAUUCAAGUUCUAAUAAAUAACUCUAAGAAA